UUAUUUUUUACGUUCGCUGCCGUGCUCUUUAAAACACAUAUUCCUUAUGUUCAUCGCUUUUUAGCUUGGCACCUAACUGAUUGAUCAACUAUUUUCUAUUUGAUAGUAAUGGUAAUCACUAACAGCCCAAUCUAUCACAUAAUUCUUCUCUCUCUCUCUUCUUCUUCUUUUAUAGUAACAUGGGUGCUUGAAGUUGCUAACGCGGUUAGACUGUUCGACAAAAUGUCUAAAUGAAAAGUUUGCUUUGUUUCCAAUUUGAUUGAAAUAUGGAUAAUGAUGGAUAGCAACAUACAGGAAAAAGUUAAUAAAUUUGAGGAAUUUGUUGAUGGCCAUUUGAAACCACAGCUUGUUCGCGCUAUUGCUGAACGGGACAAGGUUUUUGAGCAACAAAAGAUUUUGUAUUCAUUUCUUUUUGUUCAUGUUUCUUUGGAGAUUAAAAAGUGAGUAGCCAAUAACCAUUUGCUUAUAACCAAAAUUUCCUUGUGCAUUGAAAGGAGGCCAUUGGACAUCGAGUGUCUUUCAAAUGAAUUUCGUAACUCAAUUA